UGGAUCUUCCCCUAAUCCUCUAUUUAUUUUAUACGUAUGAACAGUGAUAUGCCGAUAAAUGAAGCCACGUGAUUGGGACUGAUGACCAGGACAUGCAAUCCAGGACAAGAUGCAAACUUCGGACACGCUUCCGCACAAGUGAAGCAAAACCUAUGGGCGCCUCAAAUUCCGUGGCGAAUGGUCAACAUUAUCGUCAUUACUGGCGGAC
rnacentral:lncRNA from 1 species